AUUAAGUGCUACAUUCAUUAACUUGCCUUUUUAUUCUCUUUCUAUACAGAUUGCUACAGUGCUUUUCCUGCCUUUUUGGACUGCGACUUGGUGCUACACCUGCCUUUUAACAUCUGGGUUUAUUAUUUUUUGGCUUCUCCUUUGUUCAGAUAAAUCCAUCUCGUCUGAACAAGUGUAAGAGAUAGCCAGGGUCUCCUUAGGGAGACCCCCUUGGGGUACCCCGGCCUUGAGCCGGCCCCUACAUUUUUCAAGAUCUGAAAAGCUCCUUUAACAGGUUUUGAAGAUGAACAAGACAGAGAGAAUUCCAUCACUCCUGUCACUGUACUCCGUCCUGGAGGAUUUCAGGGUGGAGGAUACAGAUUUUGAGGCCCUCGCCUCUUAUUACGAACAUCACUACCGGGUCCAAUAUGGGAG